CGGACGGGUGAGUAACGCGUGGGUAACCUGCCUCACACUGGGGGAUAACAGUUAGAAAUAGCUGCUAAUACCGCAUAAGCGCACAGUUCCGCAUGGAACAGUGUGAAAAACUCCGGUGGUGUGAGAUGGACCCGCGUCUGAUUAGCCAGUUGGCGGGGUAACGGCCCACCAAAGCGACGAUCAGUAGCCGGCCUGAGAGGGUGACCGGCCACAUUGGGACUGAGACACGGCCCAA
rnacentral:rRNA from 1 species